UUUUACUAAAAUAAUGUAAGAUUAGGAUUCCCGAACUUAUAAGAGCUAUUGAUAUGUUUGAUUUUAGUGUUAAGAAAAUUUAAGGCUGUAGCAUCAUCCCAACCAAAACUAUCAAUAGUGGUGAAACGCCUUCACUUUUAAAGUUAGCUGGAUAGCAGUUAAAUACAUUGAGUGUAUAUUUGAAAUUUAUUAAGUAGUAAGAUUUAAUAAUAAAAAAUAAAACUAUUUAUCAUAGUCUUUAUCAUCAAAAACAUAGGGGAGGAUAUUAGAUACACAAUUAAUUUAGUCGAUAUAUUUUAAUAUAGUUGCUUAAUAGGUUUGAUUAUCCUAUCUUAUUAGAUAAUGUAAAAAUUAGUAAUCUAGAAAAAAAUAUAAAAGGAACUCGGCAAAUAGUCCUCUUGCCUGUUUACCAAAAACAUAGCGGCAUGGGAAUAAUAUGCGGUGUAAUCUGCCCAGUGAUAAGUUUAACGGCCGCAGUACUUUGACUGUGCUAAGGUAGCAUAAUAAUUUGGCUUUUAAUUGAGGUCUGGUAUGAAAGAAUUUUCAAGGGGAAGCUGUCUCUUGAAUUACAUUAUGAAUUUAUUAAAUAAGUGAAAAUCCUUAUGAAAAAAAAAAUAGACGAGAAGACCCUUAGAAUUUUAAGAAAUACACCAUAUAUAAAGGUAAGUGCUUUUUGUUGGGGCAACAUAUUUCCAAAUUGCGAAUAAAAUAAACUAUUUUAAGUAAUUUACCGAUUUUAUAUUUAUAUAAAAAUUACCUUAGGGAUAACAGCAUAAUUUUAAUAAAAAGUUUGUGACCUCGAUGUUGGACUAGGGACGACAAGCGCGAGAUGUGCUUGGCGAUUGUUCUGUUCGAACGUUUUAUACCU
rnacentral:rRNA from 1 species